rnacentral:rRNA from 1 species
UACGAAGGGGGCUAGCGUUGCUCGGAAUCACUGGGCGUAAAGGGUGCGUAGGCGGGUCUUUAAGUCAGGGGUGAAAUCCUGGAGCUCAACUCCAGAACUGCCUUUGAUACUGAAGAUCUUGAGUUCGGGAGAGGUGAGUGGAACUGCGAGUGUAGAGGUGAAAUUCGUAGAUAUUCGCAAGAACACCAGUGGCGAAGGCGGCUCACUGGCCCGAUACUGACGCUGAGGCACGAAAGCGUGGGAGCAAACAG